GGAAUAUAAAAACUCGUCUCUUAACUUUUAACUAAAAAAAGGUAAGAACCGGCUCUUAAAUAAGGGUAUUUAAGAGCCGGUUCUUAGCUUUUUUUAGUUAAAAGUUAAGAGAAAGUUUCUUAUAUUCC
rfam:Brassica oleracea var. oleracea cultivar TO1000 chromosome C3, whole genome shotgun sequence